rnacentral:miRNA from 1 species
GAUAAUUAGUGAUGCUGGGCAUUUUUUCAUAUAUUUCUUGGCCGUGUGUGUGUGUGUGUGUGUGUGUGUAUAUAUAUAUAUAUAUAUAUACACAUAUAUUUUU